CAAAUCCUGCUUUGUGCGUUGCUUGAUGAUUUUUAAACCCACAGUGUUUUUGAGGGAGUUGGUCUUAAACUGCGUAUACCAGGCCGCAUUGACCGGCGGAAGGUAGAAACAGUUUAGCUGACACCCACCUGCGAGAAGCGGGUAUUUAAAAACACCAAGUGGACGGCUAAGUGGGUAAUAU
rnacentral:other from 1 species